GAUUAACGCUGGCGGCGUGCCUAACACAUGCAAGUCGAGCGGCAGCGAGUUUUACACUGAAUUCUGGAAGCUUCUAGUUGAAAAAGAAGAUUUAUUCAAGAAUUUUGUGUAAAAUGUCGGCGAGCGGCGGACGGCUGAGUAACGCGUGGGAACGUACCCCAAAGUGAGGGAUAACGCAUCGAAAGGUGUGCUAAUACCGCAUAUGGUCUUCGGAUUAAAGCCUUCGGGCGCUUUGGGAACGGCCUGCGUAAGAUUAGAUAGUUGGUGGGGUAAUGGCCUACCAAGUCGACGAUCUUUAACUGGUUUGAGAGGAUGAUCAGUCAGACUGGAACUGAGACACGGUCCAGACUCCUACGGGAGGCAGCAGUGAGGAAUCUUCCACAAUGGGCGAAAGCCUGAUGGAGCAACGCCGCGUGCAGGAUGAAGGCCUUCGGGUUGUAAACUGCUUUUAUAAGUGAGGAUUAUGACAGUAACUUAUGAAUAAGGAUCGGCUAACUACGUG
rnacentral:rRNA from 1 species